AGUGAACGCUGGCGAUAGGCUUAACACAUGCAAGUCGAACGGCAGCACAGUAAGAGCUUGCUCUUACGGGUGGCGAGUGGCGGGCGGGUGAGGAAUACAUCGGAAUCUACUUUUUCGUGGGGGAUAACGUAGGGAAACUUACGCUAAUACCGCAUACGACCUACGGGUGAAAGCAGGGGAUCUUCGGACCUUGCGCGAUUGAAUGAGCCGAUGUCGGAUUAGCUAGUUGGCGGGGUAAAGGCCCACCAAGGCGACGAUCCGUAGCUGGUCUGAGAGGAUGAUCAGCCACACUGGAACUGAGACACGGUCCAGACUCCUACGGGAGGCAGCAGUGGGGAAUAUUGGACAAUGGGCGCAAGCCUGAUCCAGCCAUACCGCGUGGGUGAAGAAGGCCUUCGGGUUGUAAAGCCCUUUUGUUGGGAAAGAAAAGCAGCAGGUUAAUACCCCGCUGUUCUGACGGUACCCAAAGAAUAAGCACCGGCUAACUUCGUG
rnacentral:rRNA from 1 species